rnacentral:lncRNA from 12 species
CCUGUCUAAAUCAGAGCUUCUGGGAAGUUGUUGUAAGGACCCUGCUGAUCUGCAGGUCUCUGCAGGUGUCCAAAAAAACUCUCUGCUGGCUUCUUGCAGGGAGGUUGUGUGGGAUCUAGCCAUAAAAUCAUGGACACGCCUGGAAAUCUGAGUCCUCCAGAGCCAGAAAUUUUGAGUAAGGAACCAUGAAACAGAAACAUCCCUCUACACAGCCCUGAGGAAGGAGCUGCCCAGGAAGGAUGAACUCUCUCCCCACCAGCUGCCUUUGUAACCUGGCUCUUCCAGCUGAGAGACAGGGAUAUCUAUUCACUUUCAGUGGAGAAAAAGUGGAUCAGUGUGACUGCCUUUUAUAGAAAAAGAAGUGGAAAACAGGGCAACCCAGCGAUGCUUUUCCAAGAAGUGCCCAAGACCUGCAUCCAUGGAGGGAUGGCUGAGGAUGAUGAUCAGAAUUCACAGCAGUGCAGCAGAGGAGCCAGUCAGAAUCUGGGGAAGGCAGAGCUCAAGGUUACCGGAGUCCUCAGCUUGAACAAGGAUGUAACCCUGAACAAGGAGUCCCACCUAAUGCUGUAGCAGAGUGGACUCAGCCUGUGGCUUUGUUGUGCCCAGACCAUGUUGACUUGGCCUUUUCCCUUCUUUCCACCUUCCUGCAAUACUUAGAGCUGUGCUAGCAGCAGCUGGUUCAUCACUACCCUCCGUGCUGGUGAAGUUCUGCCCAGGGUCAUGUCUGAGCAUCCCUGUGGUGAUCAGUGAGCACCACCACAGCUCUGCCUCAACCAGGGACCUUGAUGCCUUUGCUGCCUGCAAAACUCCACCUGGCAUCAGCUCCCACACCAGGACAGAGCAGGGCACACAGCCCGUUUCCUCACUUAACAGAACUUGUUAAUUUUUCUCUUUUAUAACCUGCAGCAUUAUCAGCAGCAAAUUACUGCUAUCGAUAACUCAUUAGCAAAUGAAAUGAAAGACAACGCUGCUGACAUCUGUAUGAAGCCAUGUCUGAGAGGCCCUGGCUCCUGCUCAUUGGGCUUUUAGUAUUCAUUAAGGCUGGUAAACGCUGUGUGUUUAAAAUGCUGAUCUAUGCAGCAUGUGUUGAACUCUCAAUCUGCAUUAGCUGAGACAGCGGCUCGUACCAGCUCUGCUGCCUAACCAACUUGAUUUAUCAGAGUUUCCUAAGCCCUGUUUAUGAGGCUGCUUUGUUUGUAAUGACUUAAUACUCUUUUCACAUGGGAGAAUUUAUCAACAUCUGUGCAUCACAUUGUGUUGGGUGUUGGGGUGGCCUUGGUUGUAGCUGUAGAGCAGAGCUGGGGCAGAGUGGCUGUGCUGGGAAUCCUGUGACUGCUUUCCAAAUGACAGCUAAUGUAAAAGGUGGUGCUUCCUCUGGCCGUUUGUAAAAGAAGGAAAAGCUGAUUAUCAUUUCCUCUCCUGGCCUUUCUCUGUCUGGUGGGGGAAAAGGAGUGCAGGGCUGUGGGGAUGGGGAGCUCCCUGCCACGGGCUGCCAGCCAGGUCAGGCAGCAGAUAAAAAGAUGGGCUGGACAUCUGCACUGAUAAAAAAUGAUAUUUGUGCACGUCACCAGGCACUGAGCAGGCGGGAUGUUGUUCUGACAUUGACUCUGUCCUCUCCAGCAGGCUUGACCCUGACCAGAUAAGAUGCUCUGUGCUGUUCUGUUUCUUAUCUCUAAAGACUGCAGCCCUGUGACAUCAAAGAUACACAGAACUGAUCCUUAGCACAAUUACCCACAACAUUUUCACCUGGUGCACUCCAAACCUGGCCCACAGUCUGCCAAAAGCAUGACUUCAGAUACUUUGUGCACAGCACACAGCUAUUAAACAAAGACCAGGCAUCUUAUACCAUCUUAAUGAUAUUCUCAAGCAUCUUCCAGUGGCCUCUGGAUCUCCUCUGGUCUCCCUUUUGCAGCUCCCUGAGAAGGAAUUCCUAUAUAGAGAAAAUGUCUCUAUGCAUUUGAGGCUUUGUUGGUUGGUUUUUGCUUUUGUGGGUUUUGUGUUUUUUUAACAGUCAGCUAAAUAAAUAUAAAUAUUUUGAAGCUAAAUAUUAAAGCAUUAUAAGCUUUCUCUGAUAUGGGAUAAUAUUCAGCUUUACCAGAA